GAUGAACGCUGGCGGCGUGCCUAAUACAUGCAAGUCGAGCGAAUGGAUUAAGAGCUUGCUCUUAUGAAGUUAGCGGCGGACGGGUGAGUAACACGUGGGUAACCUGCCCAUAAGACUGGGAUAACUCCGGGAAACCGGGGCUAAUACCGGAUAACAUUUUGAACCGCAUGGUUCGAAAUUGAAAGGCGGCUUCGGCUGUCACUUAUGGAUGGACCCGGGUCGCAAUAGCUAGUUGGUGAGGUAACGGUUCACCAAGGCAACGAUGCGUAGCCGACCUGAGAGGGUGAUCGGCCACACUGGGACUGAGACACGGCCCAGACUCCUACGGGAGGCAGCAGUAGGGAAUCUUCCGCAAUGGACGAAAGUCUGACGGAGCAACGCCGCGUGAGUGAUGAAGGCUUUCGGGUCGUAAAACUCUGUUGUUAGGGAAGAACAAGUGCUAGUUGAAUAAGCUGGCACCUUGACGGUACCUAACCAGAAAGCCACGGCUAACUACGUGCCAGCCGCCGCAGUAA
rnacentral:rRNA from 1 species